GUCGUGUGUAUUAUAAGAACAUAAUGGGGAAAACGUGUGUUGGUGGUCACCGGUGCUCAGGAGAGGAUUUAAUUCAAGGAUUACUUGAGACUCAUGUCGCCAGGAGAACGAUGCUCUUAAUCUCACCCUGCUUGUAUUUGCUGUGGCCAACACCUGAUUCAUGAUGUUGGCUUACUCUGGUGCCGUAAUCAGCACCAUCUCGGCCGCCCACCUGUCAUCAAUCAGCCUUCAUCAUCACCUGCAUAAAAGCCUGCCAGAUCCCGGAAAACCUCACCAGAGUAUUAACAUUCUCCUGUGGUACACCGGCUCU